UACGUAGGCAGCGAGCGUUGUUCGGAAUUACUGGGCGUAAAGAGUGUGUAGGCGGUGCUCUAAGUUCGGUGUGAAAUCUCCUGCUUAACUGGGAGGGUGCGCCGGAAACUGGAGUGCUUGAGCGUGGGAGAGGAAAGCGGAAUUCCUGGUGUAGCGGUGAAAUGCGUAGAUAUCUGGAGGAACACCGGUGGCGAAGGCGGCGAUCUGGCCCAACAUUGACACUGAGACCCGAAAGCGUGGGGAUCAAACAGG
rnacentral:rRNA from 1 species